CAACAACAUAACGUCUGGUGAUGAUGGCGGAGGGGAUCCACCCGUUCCCAUACCGAACACGGAAGUUAAGCCCUCCAGCGCCGAUGGUACUUGGGUCUAAGCCCUGGGAGAGUAGGUCGUUGCCAGGC
rnacentral:rRNA from 1 species